rnacentral:rRNA from 1 species
UAGGGAAUAUUAGAAAUGGACGAAAGUCUGAUCUAGCAACACCGCGUGUGCGAAGAAGGCCUUCGGGUCGUAAAGCACUUUUUGGAAGGAAUAGGAAGGAAUGUACUUCCAGAAUAAGUCUCGGCUAACUACGUGCCAGCAGCCGCGGUAACACGUAGAAGGCAAACGUUAUCCGGAUUUACUGGGCGUAAAGCGCGUGUAGGUGGUACUGUAAGUAGGGCGUGAAAGCUCCUGGCUCAACUGGGAGAGGCCGUUCUAAACUACAGAACUAGAGGAUGGUAGAGGGAGGUGGAAUUCCAGGUGUAGCGGUGGAAUGCGCAGAUAUCCGGAGGAACACCGGUGGCGAAGGCGGCCUCCUGGACCAUUCCUGACACUCAGACGCGAAAGCUAGGGUAGCAAACG